rnacentral:rRNA from 1 species
GACGGAGGGUGCUAGCGUUGUUCGGAAUCACUGGGCGUAAAGGGCGCGUAGGCGGCGCCGCAAGUCGGCUGUGAAAGCCCGGGGCCCAACCCCGGAGGUGCAGCCGAGACUGUGGUGCUGGAGGCCGGAAGAGGAGGGUGGAAUACCCAGUGUAGAGGUGAAAUUCGUAGAUAUUGGGUGGAACACCGGUGGCGAAAGCGGCUCUCUGGUCCGGUCCUGACGCUGAGGCGCGAAAGCGUGGGGAGCAAACAGG